rnacentral:lncRNA from 1 species
AGGGCGAUUUGUUUCACGUGUAAGUUCUAGAGCCUGCAAAGCUAGGGGUGGCACUUCCCUGUGAGAACUGGCCUGAACGCUGCUUUUGCCAGGCCUGAUAAACCUCUUGUCCAGGGCUCGGUGAACCAGAGUGCAAGUCUGACUCCCAGCCCCUGCUUUCCUCUCGCUGGUCCCAGCCUCACCCCCAGGCACUCCGCCGCCCCGAGCUGACUGCUUUGGAAGGGCUGAGCUGAGCGUCAGCGCUGGGCAUGCCGGGCCCCCGGGCUCUCACCGGCCUGCCUGCGGGAAUGCUUCUCUACGCUCCUGGGCCCGGGGCUGUGCCAAGCAGCUGAGUGCAGAACAGGAGCCCUGUGGGGUGUGGUGAGUUGCACAGACAGGCCGGGGCUGGCCCUGGCACCGUGCCACCCCGAGCGGGUAGGUGGGCUGCCCUAGGCAAUCCCCAACCACACCUUAACAUCUGAGGUGGGCAUGGGAAGACCGACCUCUCCUGGUUCAGAGCCUGAAUGCUCCAAGCCUCAGCAGCUGCUCCAGGCUGGGGCAGCCCUGAAGGAGGGGAGGAGGGGGCCAGGACCCGUGCCAGCGUGGGGACGAGGCCAGCAGCCGGCACGGGGUUGGCUUACGUCCAGCAGAGCAUGCGAGAGGUACAGGGCCGUUCUGCAGGAGGACUGGCAGGCUGUGGGGCUUGGCACAGUCUCCAGACCCGGCGCAGGGCUUUUCUUUCUUGAGUUCAGCUAAACCCGGGGCGUUCUCGCUCCUGCAGUUAUUCCUUCCUGGGGCAGUGUUCGGAGAAGCAAUCCCAGUGGGACUGCCGGUUUGUUGCCAAGCAGGUUACCUCCUGGAGCCUCUGCCCGACUCCCCGGCCUUUGUCUUCUCCCUGCCAGAGGAGCCUGUGCUGUCUCAGGUGGCAGAAGAGCGGCUCAGGUCUAUGAACGAUGUUGUAGAUAGGAGACCAAAGCUACAGCCCUGUGGCAGAACCAGGCGCAGAAUCCAGCUCCCAGAUUCCCAGGCUGAUAUCAUCCCUCGCACCAAGCAGUCUACACACCCUCCUGUCUCAGAGAGAGUGCCGUGUUUCAACCAGUUCAAAUGUGCUAAGAAGACUGUGUGUGGUUAUGCAAGUCCUAUGCAGACGCUAACAAUGUAAGGCAGUCAGGGAUGUCCGGGCUUUAGAGCAGGGCAGGCACGCCUAUGCUCAUGCUUCUGUCUCUCCUCCCACCCAGAGGAGGAAAAUGAUCACAGCCACUCCAUGUUGGCAGUAAAGAGCCAGAUUCCCCUCUCAGGGGUGUACCUUGUAUGCACAGGGCUUGGGGAGUAGUGAGAAUAAAGGGUGAUUUCUUUUCUUCUUGCCCAAGAGAAACUCCCUGCAAAGCAACCAAACCACAGUGAGCUUCUAAGAGGGUUUUCUAACCACUGAGAAGUCAACCCCUGAUGUCAUUUAGCACUGCUCCCUUCUUACCAACUGUCUGCUAUGACAUGAUGGAGCUAAGUAGGAGCGCUGCUGAAAUACAGUCUAGGGAGUGAGAAAUUAAGAGACAGCUGCAAGGGAAAAAGGGAUUUUUUUAAGCAAGGAAGGAAACGAGACAGCAACCAACAAAACAGAUAAAAGCAAGAUGACUGUUCCAGAGGACUGUGGAAGAGGGCAGAGUAGGAAGCUGUGGGGAUCAGUUCCUCCAGAACAACUAUUAAACACCCCAGAAAUGGUCUGAAACAACUGUUAAGAAACUCCAGUGUCUGGCAGAACACUCUACAGCAUCCAAGUAUGAGCAGGAGGAAGACACUGAUCAAUUACAGCGAAUGCCGGUAAAUUGCUGCCCCACGUGGUGGUUUCCAGCACCCAUCCCAUUCUUGUAGCAAGGCAGCAGUGGGGUCUGGCCCCUGGUGGAGCUUGCUGGUGACAGAGAGGGAUAUGAAAUUCCACUUCCCCAAGAGCCAGGGGGCUGGGCCAUGGACCAUGGAUUUUUGUUAGCUGCUAUGGAUUGCUGGGGCCCAGCUCUGAGGUGGCCCAUAUGCCAACCCACCCCUGACAAGGCAGCAGGAGACUUAAAGAUGGUAUGUUACCUGCAAAGGAUGGUUGAAAGGCUGGAUUUGCUGAUUAGGUCAAUAAAUGAUACCUUUAGGGAGCCUUGGAAGAAGCUCCUGGCACCCUUCCUGGCCCAUCAUCAUCCUCUUCUCAAGGCAAUUUGGAGCCAGCCAGUGUUCUCUUUGUAAUCCCUGACCAUGUUCCAGCCAGGGAAGCCUGAUUUGGGAAUCUCCUCUCUGCCUUGUUCCGCCUCCCAGAAUUUGCCCUCCAGGCAAAAGCAGCUUGAUACCAGCAAAGACAUAUAGGAAAUAUUUGAGGCUGAUGGCCUGGGGCAAAGGCUUACCUACUUUCAGUUGGACAGUGGAAAACCUGGGAGAGAGAGAAGGUGUGUCUACUGUGAAGUAGAACGAGCAUUGAAAAUACUGUAAACAGGGAAACUCCUAACACCAUUAGCAAGCACAAGCCCGGAACAAGACACAGGACCAGCAAGUAUAGGGAGAAUCCUACACUUUGCAUUCACCUUGGUCAGACUUUCCUGAUAGGAGGAGGGCUGACAUACAAGAAAAUCUUUGUCAUAUCACCAGCUGGUUAAAAGCUCAAGAAACAGACAUGUAAGGGAAUAAAUCUCAGAGUUAACAUUUGAAUAUUUAAAUACGUACAGUGUGCAAUAAAAAUUACAAGACAGAAAAGGAAAUAGGAAAUGAUGAGCCAGUCAUAGGAAGAAGAUAAAAAGUACACAAAUGAAGAAGGCCAGCCUAUAGAUAUACCAGAGAAAGACUUAAAAAAGUAAUCUUCCAUAUGUUUCAAGGAGAUGAAGGAAAAUACAUAGACCUAAAGGCUAUCUGGAAAACAAUGAAUGAACAAUAUUAGAUUCUUAAUCAAAAGACAGAAAUUUUAAAAAGGAAUCAAAUAGAGCUAUUGGAGAUGAAAAUCAUAAUAACCAAAUGAAAAAUUCCCAGGAGGAUUUCAACAGUAGAAUGGAGCUGGAAGAAGAAAGAAUCUGUGAACUUAAAGAAAAGACAAUUGAAUUGAGUCAGGCAGAGGAUCAGAAGAAAAAAAGAACUACAAAAAGAGAAAUAAAAUAACACUCUGGGACACCAUCAGGCACACCAAUAUAUGUAUGAUGGAAGAUCCAGAAGAAGAAGGGGGAAGAAGAGCAGAAACAAUAUUAAAGAAAUAAUGACAAAGACUCCCCAAACUUAGCAAAAAAUGUGCUGUGUAAAAGGGAGUCCUAAUUAGAUUAGGUGUCAAUUUCGCAUCAGAAACCAUGGAGGCAAGAAGUCAGUGGGUUGAAACACUUUAAGUGCUGAAAGAAUACAAUUGCCAACCAAAAAAUUUUAUAUCCUGUGAGACUUUCUUUCAAAAUAGAGGAAGAGUUCAAGACCUUCCCAGAUAAACAAAAGCUGAGGGAAUUCAUCACCACUAGAACUGCCUGACAAGAAAUCCUAAAGGGAGUUCUUCAGACUGAAAGGAAAGGACACUAGAUGUGGUUCAAAGUGGCAUAAAGAAAUAAAGACCUCGGUAAAUGUAACCAUUGGUAAUUAUAAAUGCCACUAUUAUUGUAUAGUAAUUUUUAGUAUGUAAUUUCACUUCUUACUUCCUGCUGGUACUAAAAUAUAAUUGAAUAAAAAGAAAUGAUAAAUCUAUGGUUAUGGACAUACAAUGUACUAAGACAUUUGUAACUAGUACAAAAAAAGGUAAGGGGAUGAAGGAGUAUAAGAACAGUGCAGUGUAUGCUACUGGAGACAAAUUGGUAUCAAAUCAAUAUGAGGUGGCGGACUUGGCCCAGUGGUUAGGGUGUCUGUCUACCACAUGGGAGGUCUGCGGUUCAAACCUCAGGCCUCUUUGACCCAUGUGCAGUGCUGAUGUGUGCAAGGAGUGCCGUGUUACACAGGGGUGUCCCUAUGUAGGGGAGCCCCACACACAAGGAGUGUACCCCGUAAGGAGAGCCGCCCAGCGCUAAAGAAAGUGCAGCCUGCCCAGGAAUGGUGCCGCCUACACGGAGAGCUGACACAACAAGAUGACACCACAAAAAGAAACACAGAUUCCCGUGCCACUGACAACAACAGAAGAGGACAAAGAAGAUGCAGCAAAUAGACACAGAGAAC